UGUUGAAAAAAUGGGAUUAUAGCUGC
rnacentral:sRNA from 1 species